UCAGGAUGAACGCUGGCGGCGUGCCUAAUACAUGCAAGUCGAGCGAAUGGAUUAAGAGCUUGCUCUUAUGAAGUUAGCGGCGGACGGGUGAGUAACACGUGGGUAACCUACCCAUAAGACUGGGAUAACUCCGGGAAACCGGGGCUAAUACCGGAUAAUAUUUUGAACUGCAUAGUUCGAAAUUGAAAGGCGGCUUCGGCUGUCACUUAUGGAUGGACCCGCGUCGCAUUAGCUAGUUGGUGAGGUAACGGCUCACCAAGGCGACGAUGCGUAGCCGACCUGAGAGGGUGAUCGGCCACACUGGGACUGAGACACGGCCCAGACUCCUACGGGAGGCAGCAGUAGGGAAUCUUCCGCAAUGGACGAAAGUCUGACGGAGCAACGCCGCGUGAGUGAUGAAGGCUUUCGGGUCGUAAAACUCUGUUGUUAGGGAAGAACAAGUGCUAGUUGAAUAAGCUGGCACCUGA
rnacentral:rRNA from 1 species